rnacentral:rRNA from 1 species
GACGAACGCUGGCGGCGUGCCUAAUACAUGCAAGUAGAACGCACAGUUUAUACCUUAGCUUGCUACACCAUAGACUGUCAGUUGCGAACGGGGGAGUAACGCGUAGGUAACCUGCCUGGUAGCGGGGGAUAACUAUUGGUAACGCUAGCUAAUACCGCAUAAUAUUUAUUAUUGCAUGAUAAUUGAUUGAAAGCUGCUAUUGCAUCACUACCAGAUGGACCUGCGCUGUAUUAGCUAGUAGGUGAGGUAACGGCUCACCUAGGCGACGAUACAUAGCCGAAAUGAGAGGGUGAGGGGCCGCACUGAGACUGAGACACGGCCCAGACUGCUAGGGGAAGCAGCAGUAGGGAAUCUUGGGCAAUGGACGAAAGUCUGACCGAGAAGGGCCGCAUGAGUGAGGAAGGAUGUCGGAUCGUAAAGCUCGGUUGUAGGGGAAGAACGCGUGUGAGAGUGGAAAGUACACAGUGUGACGGUAUCUUACAAGAAAGGAACGGCUAACUACGUG